UUAAGCGACUAAGCGUACACGGUGGAUGCCCUGGCAGUCAGAGGCGAUGAAGGACGUGCUAAUCUGCGAAAAGCGUCGGUAAGGUGAUAUGAACCGUUACAGCCGGCGAUGUCCGAAUGGGGAAACCCAGUGUGAUUCGUCACACUAUCGUUAACUGAAUACAUAGGUUAACGAGGCGAACCGGGGGAACUGAAACAUCUAAGUACCCCGAGGAAAAGAAAUCAACCGAGAUUCCCCCAGUAGCGGCGAGCGAACGGGGAGCAGCCCAGAGUCUGAAUCAGCUUGUGUGUUAGUGGAACGGUCUGGAAAGUCCGACGGUACAGGGUGAUAGUCCCGUACACCAAAAUGCACAGGCUGUGAACUCGAAGAGUAGGGCGGGACACGUGGUAUCCUGUCUGAAUAUGGGGGGACCAUCCUCCAAGGCUAAAUACUCCUGACUGACCGAUAGUGAACCAGUACCGUGAGGGAAAGGCGAAAAGAACCCCGGCGAGGGGAGUGAAAAAGAACCUGAAACCGUGUACGUACAAGCAGUGGGAGCACCUUCGGGUGUGACUGCGUACCUUUUGUAUAAUGGGUCAGCGACUUAUAUUCUGUAGCAAGGUUAACCGUAUAGGGGAGCCGCAGGGAAACCGAGUCUUAACUGGGCGUUAAGUUGCAGGGUAUAGACCCGAAACCCGGUGAUCUAGCCAUGGGCAGGUUGAAGGUUGGGUAACACUAACUGGAGGACCGAACCGACUAAUGUUGAAAAAUUAGCGGAUGACUUGUGGCUGGGGGUGAAAGGCCAAUCAAACCGGGAGAUAGCUGGUUCUCCCCGAAAGCUAUUUAGGUAGCGCCUCGUGAACUCAUCUUCGGGGGUAGAGCACUGUUUCGGCUAGGGGGUCAUCCCGACUUACCAACCCGAUGCAAACUACGAAUACCGAAGAAUGUUAUCACGGGAGACACACGGCGGGUGCUAACGUCCGUCGUGAAGAGGGAAACAACCCAGACCGCCAGCUAAGGUCCCAAAGUCAUGGUUAAGUGGGAAACGAUGUGGGAAGGCACAGACAGCCAGGAUGUUGGCUUAGAAGCAGCCAUCAUUUAAAGAAAGCGUAAUAGCUCACUGGUCGAGUCGGCCUGCGCGGAAGAUGUAACGGGGCUAAACCAUGCACCGAAGCUGCGGCAGCGACACUUAUGUGUUGUUGGGUAGGGGAGCGUUCUGUAAGCCUGCGAAGGUGGCCUGUGAGGGCUGCUGGAGGUAUCAGAAGUGCGAAUGCUGACAUAAGUAACGAUAAAGCGGGUGAAAAGCCCGCUCGCCGGAAGACCAAGGGUUCCUGUCCAACGUUAAUCGGGGCAGGGUGAGUCGACCCCUAAGGCGAGGCCGAAAGGCGUAGUCGAUGGGAAACAGGUUAAUAUUCCUGUACUUGGUGUUACUGCGAAGGGGGGACGGAGAAGGCUAUGUUAGCCGGGCGACGGUUGUCCCGGUUUAAGCAUGUAGGCGGAGGUUCCAGGUAAAUCCGGUACCUUUUAACGCUGAGGUGUGAUGACGAGGCACUACGGUGCUGAAGUAACAAAUGCCCUGCUUCCAGGAAAAGCCUCUAAGCAUCAGGUAACAUCAAAUCGUACCCCAAACCGACACAGGUGGUCAGGUAGAGAAUACCAAGGCGCUUGAGAGAACUCGGGUGAAGGAACUAGGCAAAAUGGUGCCGUAACUUCGGGAGAAGGCACGCUGGUGUGUAGGUGAAGUCCCUGCGGAUGGAGCUGAGACCAGUCGAAGAUACCAGCUGGCUGCAACUGUUUAUUAAAAACACAGCACUGUGCAAACACGAAAGUGGACGUAUACGGUGUGACGCCUGCCCGGUGCCGGAAGGUUAAUUGAUGGGGUUAUCCGUAAGGAGAAGCUCUUGAUCGAAGCCCCGGUAAACGGCGGCCGUAACUAUAACGGUCCUAAGGUAGCGAAAUUCCUUGUCGGGUAAGUUCCGACCUGCACGAAUGGCGUAAUGAUGGCCAGGCUGUCUCCACCCGAGACUCAGUGAAAUUGAACUCGCUGUGAAGAUGCAGUGUACCCGCGGCAAGACGGAAAGACCCCGUGAACCUUUACUAUAGCUUGACACUGAACAUUGAGCCUUGAUGUGUAGGAUAGGUGGGAGGCUUUGAAGCGUGGACGCCAGUCUGCGUGGAGCCAACCUUGAAAUACCACCCUUUAAUGUUUGAUGUUCUAACGUUGGCCCCUUAUCGGGGUUGCGGACAGUGUCUGGUGGGUAGUUUGACUGGGGCGGUCUCCUCCCAAAGAGUAACGGAGGAGCACGAAGGUUAGCUAAUCCUGGUCGGACAUCAGGAGGUUAGUGCAAUGGCAUAAGCUAGCUUGACUGCGAGCGUGACGGCGCGAGCAGGUGCGAAAGCAGGUCAUAGUGAUCCGGUGGUUCUGAAUGGAAGGGCCAUCGCUCAACGGAUAAAAGGUACUCCGGGGAUAACAGGCUGAUACCGCCCAAGAGUUCAUAUCGACGGCGGUGUUUGGCACCUCGAUGUCGGCUCAUCACAUCCUGGGGCUGAAGUAGGUCCCAAGGGUAUGGCUGUUCGCCAUUUAAAGUGGUACGCGAGCUGGGUUUAGAACGUCGUGAGACAGUUCGGUCCCUAUCUGCCGUGGGCGCUGGAGAAUUGAGGGGGGCUGCUCCUAGUACGAGAGGACCGGAGUGGACGCAUCACUGGUGUUCGGGUUGUCAUGCCAAUGGCACUGCCCGGUAGCUAAAUGCGGAAGAGAUAAGUGCUGAAAGCAUCUAAGCACGAAACUUGCCCCGAGAUGAGUUCUCCCUGAGACUUUAAGUCUCCUGAAGGAACGUUGAAGACGACGACGUUGAUAGGCCGGGUGUGUAAGCGCAGCGAUGCGUUGAGCUAACCGGUACUAAUGAACCGUGAGGCUUAACCUU
rnacentral:rRNA from 1 species